AUCAGAUAAUUUGGACAUCUUUACUUAAAAAAUGGGUCAAAACGAUUAAUUGAAUAUCAAAAUAGUGGGUGAUUAUUGUAGUAGUAUUAGUGUUACUAAUCGAUUAAUCGACUCAUCGUUGAAGCUCUACCCUACUGUACCAGGGAGGUACAGUAAAGUAAUUGUUCUUGGUACAAUUACUUGAUAUCCAUUAAACUUGUCUUCUCAAAAUAUUUCAGUGAAAUUUGGUGGAAAAUUCCAAACGAUAUGAUUUUGAUGUGGAUUCAGGAAUUUUGAAAAGGAUUUCUCCACAUCACAAAAUGGACUUUUGGCUUUUCGUGAAAAACUGCAUUUAUACUUGAAUCUAGUAUAUAGCAUGUAUAGUGAUUGCCCAUCACUAUUUGUAUAAUUUGUCUUGUGCCAUUACUUCAGUGCAUCACUGAUACCUCCACAUAAAGUUAUGGAAACAAUAGGGGUCAGGAAAUUUACACCCAGCCUGAAAAUGACCUCUCACUUUGGUUCAGGUUAUAAAACAGUUCUGUUGAGCAGCUAAAAUGGUUUGGUUCAGGUUAGCUAACAAUUAAGUAGCAAAAGCUUUGGUUCGGGUUAGCAGCAAAUACUUUUGUUCAGGUUAGUUAACAUGCCAGCUUAGCAGCAAAUGUUUGAUUUAGGUUAGGCAACAGUUUGGUUCAGCAGCUAAAACUGGCUGGGUUUGUUAAAAGCUCAGCUGUGAAACUUUGGUUCAGGUUACAGUUCAGUAUAGCAAUCUUAUUUCUCACUGUUUUAAUCUCUCAUUUUCACAAAAGCCCUUCUAGGGAUGGGUGUUGCAAAUUAGCAUCUGCUAUAAACAUUCUGAUACUUACAUGGGAUAGCUAUCUUCAUUUUGUCUUUGUACAUUGUAUCUGUCCCUAUAAAAUAAUAAUAAACCUUUUGGUUCACGUUAGGUAAUGAUCCAGUUUAGCAGCUAAAGCAUUUAAGUUAGCUAACAAGUCACAUUUUCAGUUAAAUUUCGGUGUAGCUUCAUAACCUAAGCUAAUAGUUAAGAUAAGCACCUAAAACUUUGGCUCCAGUUACAGUUUGAAAUAGCAACUAAAACUUUUUGGUUCAUAAUUGUUAAUAUUUUAGUUUGGUAGAGUCCUUCAAGUUAGUUAAUGCAUGCAAUGGUUGAGUUUAGAAGCAAAAACUUUGGUUCAGGUUAGCUAACAGUUCAGAUUGACAGCUAUAAAUGUUUCAGGUUAGCUAAUAAUUUGGUUCAGGUUAGCUAAUGAGUCAUAUUUUCUGUUAAAAUUUGGUGCACCUAAGCUAAGACUUCAGUUUAACACCUAAAACUUUGGUUCAGGUUUGUUCAAAGUUUUACAGCUGUAACAGUUUGGUUCGUUAGCUACCGUUAACAGUUCAAUUUGGACUGUUUGGUUCCAUGGUUUGGUUCAGGUUAGUUAAUGCUAAUUGUAAAAAAGGCCUUUAAAUGAAAAGGCAGGACUGUUCUAUGGUUCUGAUUGGUUGUUUUAUUAAGUUUAUUCCACCGAUCUUGUACAGCUAAGGUGUUGCAAGACAGGGCAGCUCUAAUUUCUGUUAAUUAAGAGAGUGUUAGCAAAGAUAUAGGCAGAGAAAGGUAACAUUAGAUAGUUUGGCUUUGGAAGUUAAGUUGACUUAUUUUGUUGGUGUACUGUCCAUUGUGUGUGUACAACAAAAGUGAGGUAAGUAAGGUAUUUCUAUUCUUUCUGGUUAUAGAGAAAUUGUUAGUUACCAAUUUAGAUAAAAUAAGAUGCUUUAAGUUUUUAAUUGCCUUUUAAAUCGUAGCUUUUUUGUUAUUUACAGUUUUGGAAGUAUUAUGUUCAGUGUUAUGUAGAGGUUAAAUUCAUUAGAAUCCAUUUGCUGUUAUUUGCCAUGAUUGCAGGUGUUACCAAUUAAGUCUUGGUGUGCAGUAAUUAGUGAAGUUAAUUACCAUGCUGUUAAGGCUCAUAGUUAUAACACAUCACAAUUCAUCAUUAUGAUGUGCAUAGUAGUGAUGACGGUUGAGUUUAGAGGCAGAUUCUUUGGUUCAGGAUAGCUAAUGGUCUAGUCUAGCAGCAAAAACAGUUUGAUUUAGUUUAAUUAGCUCCAGUUCAGUUUAUCAGAUAAAAAUGGGUUUAGGUUAGCAGCUGAUCAUUUUAACAGCUAAAACUAGUUGUAGUUCAAUCAAUGAAAAGUACAUUUCUACUUUCCACUAGAAACAUGGAGUUGAAAAAUUAAACAUGGUCAUGGAGUUAAGGGUAAGUCAUUUCCUUUUUGUACAAAAUGGUACAGUGCUUUAGUCUGUCAUGUGCAACAUAAUAUAGUACAAAUAAGUGCACUGCAUUUAAUAAAAUAUUUUAACAAAUAUUUGACAAAAAUUACAUGUAGACUAGCAUAAGGUGAAUGAAUGAUAAUACAACCAUUAUCAGCAGACCUAAUAUCCAACGCAGACUCAUACUGUGUCCUUAUUUUUACCCAGGGAGGUUAAAACCCAGCAUUAAAGUAUUUAUGGUACUGCAGGUUCCACUGGAUGUUCUGUUGAAUCAUGUUAAAUUUUCGAUAAACAGCUGGAGCAGAAAGACACCAGGGAACACCAGAGGGAUGUGACACUGAUAGUAAAUCCUCUCUCACUUCCUCUUAUCUUUCAUGGUUUUUCUUGUCUGCUCGACUGUUUUCCAGCUCAGAGUGCUGAUUGGAGGCAUUUUCUGAGGUUGAGAUAGUCACCAGGACGUGAGCAGAGAGAAAUCCACGACCUCUGGCUCAGGUCUCUCUUACACCUUGAUUCAUGUUGUUCUCAGUUUUUCAGCAGUCAGCAGCGAGUGACGGACAGUUUGGUUGGACGAAUGGGACUGUUGAAGACGUCAUUGAGUGUCAAGCCAUUUUGAAAGGUUUUGUGGGACAGAGUGAGCAGAGAGGCCUACACGCACAGGCAAGGUCUAAAAUAACCCUGCGCAGCAGUUCCCCCAACUCCUUCUCAUGAAGGCUUGUGGUCAUGAGCAACACUGAACUGCGUUUGGACAACAAAACUGAAGUUGUUUCGGGGCAUCAUGGCUGUGAGGAGGCCACAGGAAGGACCAGGAGGGUCGUAUGGACAAGUCUGGAGUGAUGCGAAGACAGAAGGACUUGAUUCGCUAUAAGCUAACAGCUGCAAGAGUCUGAGUGAGACUGGUUCUAAGAGAAAAGCCUGCUUGAACUCCAACUGCAAGAGUUGGUCUCACAAGGCUAUUGACAAACAAAUUCAAGUUUCUGGGACAGUAUUUAAAGGUUUGGUAAUAGUGUCAUUAUCGAAUCAAGGUAUGUUUCUCUGGGACAAGAAGAAACAUCACAGCAAGGGACAUUGUUCAUCACCACAGGAUACUUUUCAUCUAGUUAUUGUACACUGAGUGUUGUAUAAUACAUGCAGCUUCAUGUUUGAGAAUGUCUUAAUGUAAGAAGAGUCUAGGAUUUUUGGAUGUCAUGUUUACCUUUUUGCGGAUGUGUAGAAAGAGAUUUAAUCUUACAUCAGAUGGAGUGUUUUGUUGCAAUGUAAUAAUGGUUGAGUGUUUUGGUGCUUUUGUUUUAAAAAAGACAAUGUAUUGAGUUUGGGGUCUCUUGAGUGAAGAAUUAUCAAAUGAUAAAAGGAGGGAAUGUGAGAGAAAAUUGAAUAAUAGGUUAUUAUUUGAUGUAUUUCUUGAAUAUAUCAUACAUGUUACAAAUAGUUGUGCAGAUUUCUAUGUGUAAAUCUGAUAAGUCUUUAGAGGACAGUGUUUGUUUUCAACUGAUGUGAUGUAUCAUUCUGGUAUACAUGUUGGUGAAGAAAUCCUACUCAUAGGCUAUUUGAACUCUUGAAUUUGUUUCUAUCUGAGGGUUAUUGACCAUGAGGUCUCUGUGGGAUCAUUGUAUGACCAUUCUUGUUUAUAAGAAGGUGUAACAGUUUGUGGAAGUGUCCCCUUGAGGACCUGACUGUUUUUAGCUUUGCUUCCGAAGAAAUAUAAAACA